AUGUGCGGAUCGAUGAAACUAAUGGCUCGCAAAGAGAGCACCCCUUCUGUGAUAGAUGAACCAGCACCUGAGGAAACUAUCAAGUUCAAGGCUACUGAGGAUGUCAUUCCGACCGAAGAAUCUGCUGAAGAAUUCAUUCCAGAACGAGAAGAACGUCAAGCUGAUGCACCUGAAGAAAAUGGUGCUGAAGAAAAUGCUGAUCAAAUUCCUCGACGACAACCAGCUCAUCCUCGUGUUGCAAACGAAGUGCAAAUUGAGAAAAUCAUUGAUGACAUUGAAGCACCAGGUCCUCUCACACGCUCAAGAGCUUCACAUUUGUCUAACUUUUGUGGGCACUUUGCUUUUGUCUCUACCACAGAGCCCACUAAGGUAGAUGAAGCAUUUCUGGAGCCUGAGUGGAUUCAAGCUAUGCAAGAAGAAUUACAUCAGUUCAAGCUCAAUAACGUCUGGGAACUCGUGAAACAUCCAGAUCCUCGCAAGCACAAUAUCAUUGGCACAAAGUGGAUCUACCACAACAAGUAA
rnacentral:rRNA from 1 species